rnacentral:rRNA from 1 species
AGAUGCGAGAGUAGAGCAUAUCAAUAAGCGGAGGAAAAGAAACUAACAAGGAUUCCCUUAGUAACGGCGAGUGAAGCGGGAAGAGCUCAAAUUUGAAAUCUUCAAGGUUCUACCUUGACGAAUUGUAGUUUAUAGAAGUGUUUUCUGUUAGUGGAGUGGCAAAAGUUCUUUGGAAUAGGACAUCAUAGAGGGUGAGAAUCCCGUAUUUGGUCAUUCCUCCUAGCGUUGUGAUACACUUUCAACGAGUCGGAUUGUUUGGGAAUGCAGUCCAAAAUGGGUGGUAAAUUUCAUCUAAAGCUAAAUAUUGGCGAGAGACCGAUAGCGAACAAGUACCGUGAGGGAAAGAUGAAAAGAACUUUGAAAAGAGAGUUAAACAGUACGUGAAAUUGUCAAAAGGGAAGCGUUUGACACCAGUGUUGUUUUUCCGAAAAUCAAUUACGAAUGUUUUGUUUUUGAGGAGUUAUGACUUCAUCGGCUUGCCCCUUUCUUUAUGAAACUUUCUUAAUGCACUUUUCGGUUAACAAGUCAACAUCAAUUUCUUUUGUUGUAAAAGGGUAUGAGGAAGGUGGCUUUCUUUUCGGAGAAAGUGUUUAUAGCCUUGUGCCUCUGCAAUCGGAGAGAUUGAGGUCUGCAGCGUAGAUCCUUCGGGGUUAGAUACGUUUGUGCUAAGUUAUAGCUUUUCAUAGACAACUUGUUGACUAUGUUUAGUCUUGUAGCUUACUCGCUUACGCUAUUUUACCUACGCUUAGGAUGUUGACGCGCGUGUGUGCGUG